rnacentral:rRNA from 1 species
AGGAUUUUACAAAGUGGGCAACCCUGAUCCAGCGAGGCAGGGCGUGUGAAGAAGGACGGCGCAGUGUAAAUCACCUUAUUUUGGGUGGAAGGGCUUUAGGUGAAUACCCUGAAGUUGUGACGUCACACACAGAAUAAGCACCCGCUAACUUCGGGCGAGCAGCCGCGGUAAGACGAAGGGUGGAAGCGUUAAUCUGAAUUACUGGGCGUAAAGCGCGCGUAGGUGGUUCAGUAAGAUGGGUGUGAAAUCCCCGGGCUUAACCUGGGAACUGCUUUCAUAACUGCUGGGCUAGAGUACGGUAGAGGGUAGUGGAAUCUCCUGUGUAGCGGUGAAAUGCGUAGAUAUAGGAAGGAACACCAGUGGCGAAGGCGACUACCUGGACUGAUACUGACACUGAGGUGCGAAAGCGUGGGGAGCAAAC